rnacentral:rRNA from 1 species
CGUGUAGGCUGACACGCAAGUCAGGUGUGAAAUCCCUGGGCUCAACCUAGGAACUGCAUCUGAAACUGCGUGUCUAGAGUGUCGGAGAGGGAAGCGGAAUUCCUGGUGUAGAGGUGAAAUUCGUAGAUAUCAGGAGGAACACCGGUGGCGAAGGCGGCUUCCUGGACGAUUACUGACGCUGAGACGCGAAAGCGUGGGGAGCAAACA